AUUGAACGCUGGCGGCAGGCCUAACACAUGCAAGUCGAACGGUAACAGGAAACAGCUUGCUGUUUCGCUGACGAGUGGCGGACGGGUGAGUAAUGUCUGGGAAACUGCCUGAUGGAGGGGGAUAACUACUGGAAACGGUAGCUAAUACCGCAUAACGUCGCAAGACCAAAGAGGGGGACCCUCGGGCCUCUUGCCAUCGGAUGUGCCCAGAUGGGAUUAGCUUGUUGGUGGGGUAACGGCUCACCAAGGCGACGAUCCCUAGCUGGUCUGAGAGGAUGACCAGCCACACUGGAACUGAGACACGGUCCAGACUCCUACGGGAGGCAGUAGUGGGGAAUAUUGCACAAUGGGCGCAAGCCUGAUGCAGCCAUGCCGCGUGUAUGAAGAAGGCCUUCGGGUUGUAAAGUACUUUCAGCGGGGAGGAAGGGAGUAAAGUUAAUACCUUUGCUCAUUGACGUUACCCGCAGAAGAAGCACCGGCUAACUCCGUG
rnacentral:rRNA from 1 species